AGAAGCAGGUAACAAUAGUCGUAGAUGGGAGAAUUUUACAUUCCAUUUACAAGUGCAUUUUGCACAAGAGUAUGUAGGAUUGACGUGUGUCUUGGUUUCUGUUAUUUUUGUUGUGUAGUGCUGGUUUCUAAAUGAGACAUGGAGAGAUGGAAAAAAGGGAGAUGGAGCUAGCCCAACAGAAACCAAUAAACACUGUCUGUAGAUGGAAAAGGGACUACAUCAUCAGACUGAUUCAGUUCUACAAGUUCAAAUCUGGGACUCGUGAGUCACACAAGGAAGGUGAAAGAGUAA